CAGAGGCAGAGGAGGGAGCUAGGAGGUGAGACCCGCUCCACCCUGCUCGCCUAGGCUCGGCGGAGGCUAAGAGCAGGGCAGCCUCCUCUGUCCGGCGCCCGCUGAGCCCCGGCAUCUGGAACUCAGGGCCCUGGCGCUCCAGGGGCGGGAACUGGCCGGGAGGACCGCGCGGGAGAGCACGGAUGGGCACCCUGGGCUCGAUUGCAUUUGACCUACCUCAGGAUAUCCAAAGGAAAACAGAGGGAAGUGGGGGGUUGAGAACUGACACCCUACAACGCCAGCACCUCAGUGGAAAGGAGGAAUAGAGCCCAGGAGGGAUGUGGGGCUUCUCACCUGGGGCGGGUGGGUUCUGCACCACCCUCCCACCCUCCUUCCUCCGUGUGGACGAUAGAGCCACAUCCAGCACCACGGACAGCUCCCGGGCGAUCCCAUGGGAGUAGAAGAGGUGUGAGCAGGUUGCCCAGCUGGUUAGCGGAAAUGCCAAGAUCCAGGCUCCUGAAUUUCAGCCUGGCCCUUUCUAUCUGUCUGAUACCUCCUUUACGAGUCUCUCUGCCUGGGUUGUGUGGAGCGGACCUGCUGCUGGUUGGGGGAGUUUGCAGGUUGCCCCUAUGCAAAAAAGGACAGGAUGCAUGACUGGCAUGUAAGGUGUUCAGGAAAACCAGGAAAAGCCUUCGUCUCCUCGUCCUCCAGGCAGCACAAGCCAUUGUGGAAUCUCCACCGGGUGUACAGAACGGUGCCUCUGCGUCCUGCCACUCAGGACCUCUCAAGUCCCCGAUGUGAUGGCUCCUCAGCAUGAUCAGGAGAAAUUCCAUGAUCUUGCUUAUUC
rnacentral:sRNA from 1 species